UACGAGGGGGGCGAGCGUUGUUCGGAAUUACUGGGCGUAAAGCGCGCGUAGACGGUUUGGUAAGUCAGAUGUGAAAUCCCUGGGCUCAACCUGGGAACUGCAUUUGAUACUGCCUGGCUAGAGUAUCGAAGAGGGAAGUGGAAUUUCCGGUGUAGCGGUGAAAUGCGUAGAUAUCGGAAGGAACACCAGUGGCGAAAGCGACUUCCUGGUCGAAUACUGACGUUCAUGUGCGAAAGCGUGGGGAGCAAGCAGG
rnacentral:rRNA from 1 species